rnacentral:rRNA from 1 species
UGGGGAAUUUUGGACAAUGGGCGAAAGCCUGAUCCAGCAAUGCCGCGUGUGUGAAGAAGGCCUUCGGGUUGUAAAGCACUUUUGUCCGGAAAGAAAUCCUCUGGGUUAAUACCUCGGGGGGAUGACGGUACCGGAAGAAUAAGCACCGGCUAACUACGUGCCAGCAGCCGCGGUAAUACGUAGGGUGCAAGCGUUAAUCGGAAUUACUGGGCGUAAAGCGUGCGCAGGCGGUUUUGUAAGACGGAUGUGAAAUCCCCGGGCUUAACCUGGGAACUGCAUUCGUGACUGCAAGGCUAGAGUAUGGCAGAGGGGGGUAGAAUUCCACGUGUAGCAGUGAAAUGCGUAGAGAUGUGGAGGAAUACCGAUGGCGAAGGCAGCCCCCUGGGCCAAUACUGACGCUCAUGCACGAAAGCGUGGGGAGCAAAACAGGAUUAGAUACCCUGGUAGUCCACGCCCUAAAACGAUGUCAACUAGUUGUUGGGGAUUCAUUUCCUUAGUAACGUAGCUAACGCGUGAAGUUGACCGCCUGGGGAGUACGGUCGCAAGAUUAAAACUUAAAUGAAUUGACGGGGUCAUAGCUGUUUCCU